ACUGCUCAGUAACACGUCAAUAAUCUGCUCUUAGGUCUGGGAUAACCUUGGUAAACUGAGGCUAAGACCGGAUAGGAAAAACAAAUUGGAAAAUGGUUUUUCUUAAAGGCAACGCCUAAGAAUGAGUUGGCGGCGGAUUAGGUAGUUGGUGGUGUAAAGGACCACCAAGCCGACGAUCCGUAGGGGCCUUGAGAGAGGUAGCCUCGAGAAGGGCACUGAGACACUGGCCCUAGCCCUACGGGGUGCAGCAGGCGCGAAAACUUUACAAUGUACGCAAGUGUGAUAAGGGAACCCAAAGUGCUCAAGUUUUUACUUGGGCUUUUGCCAAAUCUAAAUAGUUUGGCGAAUAAGUGGUGGGUAAGACGGGUGCCAGCCGCCGCGGUAACACCUGCGCCACAAGUGGGAAUCACAAUUAUUGGGCCUAAAGCGUCCGUAGCCGGUUAAGUAAAUCCUUUGUGAAAUCAUCAGGCUUAACCUGAUGGUGUGCAGGGGACACUGCUCAACUCGGAACUGGGAGGAGCUGAAAGUAUGCUGGGGGGAGCGGUAAAAUGCUAUAAUCCCCAGUAGACUACCCGUGGCGAAGGCGUUCAGCUAGAACAGAUUCGACGGUGAGGGACGAAAGCCAGGGGAGCGAACCGGAUUAGAUAUCGAAAACUCCGUUUUCGGAAAUUAGUCUCAUUAUUUGUUCGUUGAUAAUAAAUACUGAAUAAUGUGAUAUUAACAUCGGAGUUAAUUCGACUAAGUACCCGAGUAGUCCUGGCUGUAAACUCUGCGAGCUAGGUGUCGCGUAUCCGUUAGGAUACGCGGUGUCGAAGAGAAGUCGUUUAGCUCGCCGCCUGGGAAAUAUGGUCGCAAGACUGAAACUUAAAGGAAUUGGCGGGGGAGCACAAU
rnacentral:rRNA from 1 species